rnacentral:pre_miRNA from 14 species
CUUUUACUCAGGGUCCACCUGAAAGACCUCCGGAGCGGGGAGACCCUCACUCAAGUCUCGGGAUGAUGCGACCCCCCAAGAACUCACGUGAGACC